GGCUCUUUGUAGAUAAAUAAAAUAAAGAGUCCGGCCUGCUCAAUGAUGAUUAAUCAUUAAAUAGCUGCGGAAUCCUAACCGUGUGAAAGUAGCAUAAUCAUUUGCCUCUUAAUUGGUGGCUGGAAUGAAUGGUACGAUGAAAAUAGAGCUGUCUCUAGUAUGUUUUAUUGAAAUUACCUUUUAGGUGAAAAGGCCUAAAUAUAUCUAUAAGACAAGAAGACCCUAUCGAGCUUUAAGUUGGUUAUGUGAAUAACCUGAUUAGCUUUUGGUUGGGGCAACCAGGGGGUAAAAGAAAUCCCUCUUUUAUUAAUUUACUUACUAGUAAAGAUCCAGUUAUAUUGAUCAAGGGA
rnacentral:rRNA from 1 species